rnacentral:rRNA from 1 species
UACGUAGGUGGCAAGCGUUGUCCGGAAUUAUUGGGCGUAAAGCGCGCGCAGGCGGCCCCUUAAGUCUGAUGUGAAAGCCCACGGCUCAACCGUGGAGGGCCAUUGGAAACUGGGGGGCUUGAGUGCAGAAGAGGAAAGUGGAAUUCCACGUGUAGCGGUGAAAUGCGUAGAGAUGUGGAGGAACACCAGUGGCGAAGGCGACUUUCUGGUCUGUAACUGACGCUGAGGCGCGAAAGCGUGGGGAGCGAACAGG